rnacentral:rRNA from 1 species
AGAUUGAACGCUGGCGGCAGGCCUAACACAUGCAAGUCGAGCGGUAGAGAGGUGCUUGCAUCUCUUGAGAGCGGCGGACGGGUGAGUAAUGCCUAGGAAUCUGCCCAGUGGUGGGGGAUAACGUUCGGAAACGGACGCUAAUACCGCAUACGUCCUACGGGAGAAAGCGGGGGACCUUCGGGCCUCGCGCCAUUAGAUGAGCCUAGGUCGGAUUAGCUAGUUGGUGAGGUAAUGGCUCACCAAAGGCGACGAUCCGUAACUGGUCUGAGAGGAUGAUCAGUCACACUGGAACUGAGACACGGUCCAGACUCCUACGGGAGGCAGCAGUGGGGAAUAUUGGACAAUGGGCGAAAGCCUGAUCCAGCCAUGCCGCGUGUGUGAAGAAGGUCUUCGGAUUGUAAAGCACUUUAAGUGGAGAAGGUUGUAACCUAAUACGUUGCAACUUUGACGUUACCGACAGAAUAAGCACCGGCUAACUUCGUGCCAGCAAGCCGA